rnacentral:rRNA from 1 species
AUGGUACUGGUACUCCUAGUAGACAAUCUAUUUCUCAUUUGGCAUGAUACUUCUGCACACAUCCGCCUCUUCUUACUUUUUCUGUGCGUUACCACUGCAAUCACCCUGUACCUCAUGAACGGUUCGCGCACCGUAUAUCUUGUUGAUUAUGCCUGCUUCCGGCCUAAUGCCAACCACCGCAUCAGCAAGGCCGCAUGGAUUGAGAACAUUCACCACUCCCAGUCUGACAACAACGACGACGACAACCAUCGGUUCUUGACCCGUAUUUCUGAACGGUCAGACCUUGGCGAUGAGACCUACCUCCCGCCUCCCCACCACUAUAUCCCACCGCAUUAUUCUUUAAGCGAAGCUCGUGCAGAAGCGGAACUGUCCAUCUUCACGGCCAUAGAUGAUCUGCUAGCGAAGACAUCUAUCAACCUUGAUGCAAUUUCCAUACUCAUCGUGAACUGCAGCGUUUUCAAUCCAACUCCGUCGCUCGCUGACAUGAUCAUGAGAAGAUACAAGCUUCGAGAUGAUAUAUGCAACGUGCAACUCUCUGGGAUGGGCUGCAGCGCAGGCCUCAUCGCGGUGGGUCUUGCGAAGGACCUCUUGCAGACCGCUCCCUCCGACGCGCAUGCCUUGGUUGUGUCCACGGAGAUUAUGAAUAGGACCUACUACACUGGGAGGAAGCGUGAAAUGCAAGUGUUCAACAUGUUGUUCCGCAUGGGUGGCUCCGCGGUGCUCCUCUCAACCUCGGGUACCAAAGCUCGUUUUCAGCUCGCGCACGUGAUUCGGACAUGCACCGGGUACCAAGACAAUGCAUACCAAUGUGUGUUCCAUGAGGAAGAUGACAAGGGGAAUCUUGGUCUCAAUUUAUCCAAGAACCUUGUGGACGUUGCUGGCAAGGCUCUCAGGGCUAACAUCAUCACGGUUGGACCUCUUAUUCUUCCUUUGUCAGUCAAGAUUGCAAUUUUUCUCUCAUACAUUUCAGGGAAGGUGCUAAAUGGAACCGCCAAGCCAUAUGUGCCCGAUUUCCGCACAGCUUUCGACCAUUUGUGCGUCCAUGCGGGUGGACGAGCGGUGAUUGAUGCAGUGCAACGUAGCCUCGGUCUGCUAGAUGAGCAUGUUGAGCCAUCAAGGAUGACACUUCACAGGUUUGGGAACACAUCGAGUAGCUCGGUAUGGUAUGAGCUGGCCUACAGUGAGGCCAAGGGUCGAAUGACGAAGGGGGACCGAGUUUGGAUGAUUGGGUUUGGCUCAGGAUACAAGUGUAACAGUGUGGUGUUGAAGUGCAUCCAGCCAGCAAACAAUGCUGAUAAGGCAUGGCAAGAUUGCAUAUAUCGCUACCCAAUGGAUGUUCCUAAGGAGGUGUAG